rnacentral:tRNA from 1 species
GCCUGAGUGGCUCAAUCGGUUGAGCGUCCGACUUCAGCUUGGGUUAUGAUCUCACGUUCCGUGAGAUCAAGCCCCACGUCGGGCU